rnacentral:rRNA from 1 species
UGAUUGUUAGCGGCGGACGGGUGAGUAACACGUGGGUAACCUGCCUGUAAGACUGGGAUAACUCCGGGAAACCGGGGCUAAUACCGGAUGGUUGUUUGAACCGCAUGGUUCAAACAUAAAAGGUGGCUUCGGCUACCACUUACAGAUGGACCCGCGGCGCAUUAGCUAGUUGGUGAGGUAACGGCUCACCAAGGCAACGAUGCGUAGCCGACCUGAGAGGGUGAUCGGCCACACUGGGACUGAGACACGGCCCAGACUCCUACGGGAGGCAGCAGUAGGGAAUCUUCCGCAAUGGACGAAAGUCUGACGGAGCAACGCCGCGUGAGUGAUGAAGGUUUUCGGAUCGUAAAGCUCUGUUGUUAGGGAAGAACAAGUACCGUUCGAAUAGGGCGGUACCUUGACGGUACCUAACCAGAAAGCCACGGCUAACUACGUGCCAGCAGCCGCGGUAAUACGUAGGUGGCAAGCGUUGUCCGGAAUUAUUGGGCGUAAAGGGCUCGCAGGCGGUUUCUUAAGUCUGAUGUGAAAGCCCCCGGCUCAACCGGGGAGGGUCAUUGGAAACUGGGGAACUUGAGUGCAGAAGAGGAGAGUGGAAUUCCACGUGUAGCGGUGAAAUGCGUAGAGAUGUGGAGGAACACCAGUGGCGAAGGCGACUCUCUGGUCUGUAACUGACGCUGAGGAGCGAAAGCGUGGGGAGCGAACAGGAUUAGAUACCCUGGUAGUCCACGCCGUAAACGAUGAGUGCUAAGUGUUAGGGGGUUUCCGCCCCUUAGUGCUGCAGCUAACGCAUUAAGCACUCCGCCUGGGGAGUACGGUCGCAAGACUGAAACUCAAAGGAAUUGACGGGGGCCCGCACAAGCGGUGGAGCAUGUGGUUUAAUUCGAAGCAACGCGAAGAACCUUACCAGGUCUUGACAUCCUCUGACAAUCCUAGAGAUAGGACGUCCCCUUCGGGGGCAGAGUGACAGGUGGUGCAUGGUUGUCGUCAGCUCGUGUCGUGAGAUGUUGGGUUAAGUCCCGCAACGAGCGCAACCCUUGAUCUUAGUUGCCAGCAUUCAGUUGGGCACUCUAAGGUGACUGCCGGUGACAAACCGGAGGAAGGUGGGGAUGACGUCAAAUCAUCAUGCCCCUUAUGACCUGGGCUACACACGUGCUACAAUGGACAGAACAAAGGGCAGCGAAACCGCGAGGUUAAGCCAAUCCCACAAAUCUGUUCUCAGUUCGGAUCGCAGUCUGCAACUCGACUGCGUGAAGCUGGAAUCGCUAGUAAUCGCGGAUCAGCAUGC